CAGAGAUGCAUUGGUAUAAUAACUCAACCUAAUUUGGAUUUGACAGAUUUUGCCAUUGAAGCAAGGAAAAAAACAUCCAGUUGCCAUCUGACAGAUCAUAGAUAUCCAGCCAAUAAUGAAGCUAGACUUCAUGUUAUAUCUGGUACAUCCUAAUGGCCUCUCAAAAAAGACACCAGUGUUGGUUGAUGUCCAGGAUACCAACUCGAGAAUGAUUCAUAUCAGAUUUUAGCUGUCGUCACAUUCAAGCUAAAACAGAUCAGCACCAGGACUGCGAGAACUUCUUCGAUAUAUCAAGCUUUUGACAAAUCUGAAGUUGGACCACAUGACAGCCUGAUUCAUUAUAUUUUCUGUUGUAAAAUCAGCAAUGCUGUUAUAAAGAAAUAACUUUUUUUAAAUUUAUAAAAAAUAUUUAAUAUGACAAUUUAAUAACAAAAAGGAAUUAUUUUUUAUACAAAAAGAAGGAACAACAUCAAGACCAGAUAAAAGAAAUGUUGUUCGAAAUAACGAGAAUUGACAUAACAGAUCUUGUUUCCAUAUUUGAUAUUAAAAAAAACACAAGGCUGGUAAGAGCUGCUUGAAACAUUUUUUUUAUGAAGGAUGACCUUCCUAUUCAAUCAAGGUAAACAUCAGCCAUGUCAGAUGGCAGCCGUGCAUGUCAGCCAGCAUGUGUGUGUUUAUGGCCCAAGGUCUCUCUGUUUUUUUCUCAUGGUCAGUAACUGUUACACACAUGUCUAUAGAUCGUCAUAAUACAUGUGGUAUGCUCGUUACAUUGUAAUGUAAUGGACUAGGAUCAGAACGUUAUU